AGAGUUAUAAAUGAAGACAGCUGUACCGAAGAAGAAAGGGUGAAAAAGGCCUCCAGCUUCGAGUUGAGAGUCUUGCAGGAUUGCCUGUGCUUCUCAGAAGACAUCCCAGUGUGGGAAACCAAGUGAGCUCCCGCAAAGGCGAGAAGGGAAUGACUGUAUAGUGACCCAAGCACUCAGCUGGGAAAUAAGCAACUUGCAAUUAGCUGCAGCUCUGCCACCACUGAAGAGUGUGAUCUAAGACAUGCCACUUCUCUUCCCCUAACUCAUCUAAAAAGAUUUUUGGAAGAAGAUAUUAGUGUUGGUCAAUGAACUGAAAAAGAAAAGAAAAGAAAAAGAAUGAAUAUAGCUGAAGCUUCUUUCCUGGUCCAAAGAAGAGGAGGAAAGAGCUCACACAGGGAGUAUGUGAGCUGCAGCUUAGGGGCACAAAUACCAAUGUCUUCUGGUGGACUCUUAGCAAAAGGAUGAAGAAUGUGGCAGUUGAAUAGAAUGUUGAAUUUCUACUUCUACUUAUUGGAGACAUCUUGUUUUAAUCUUAGGGAGAUGAUCCAGGAUACCUCCAUAAAUUAUGAUAUAUGCUACUAGGUGAUUUUUCCUCACAGAUCCAAACCCUUUUUCAGGUUAAGAAAAUUAAUCUCCAGUAUUUCUUCAUCUCAUUCAAGCUUUUAAAUUUACUAAUAUAAAGAUGUUUAUAACAUUCC